rnacentral:tRNA from 1 species
GGGCCCGUAGCUCAGCUAGGUAGAGCGCCUGGCUUUUAACCAGGUGGUCCGGGGUUCAAAUCCCCGCGGGCCCGCCA